GGACGGGUGAGUAAUACAUAAGCAACCUGCCUAUUAGCUGGGGAUAACCCUGGGAAACUAGGGCUAAUACCGAAUAAUCUCUUUAGGCCACAUGGUCUUUUGAGGAAAGGCUUCGGCCACUAAUAGAUGGGCUUAUGCUUGAUUAGCUAGUUGGUGAGGUAAUGGCUCACCAAGGCGAUGAUCAAUAGCUGGUCUGAGAAGAUGAACAGCCACACUGGGACUGAGACACGGCCCAGACUCC
rnacentral:rRNA from 1 species